rnacentral:rRNA from 12 species
UGUGGUCACAUCAUCCUGUGAGUGCUUGAUUCUGUCUGAUUUCAGAAGCUAGGCAGGGCUGGGCCUGGUUAGUACUUGCAGCCUUGAAAGACCAAUUGGACUCAGCCAAAG